rnacentral:miRNA from 1 species
CAGCUACUUUGCUUCCUGUUCAGCUUCCUGCUGAUGCACCUGGAAGGCAGCAGACAAUGAUCAAGUACUUGUGUCUUGACC